rnacentral:rRNA from 1 species
UGGUGGAGUGAUUUAUCUGGUUAAGGAAGGAGACUCUAGCCUGCUAGAUAGUAUGGGUUGUGAGUGACUUACUUCUAAGAGGCAUUGGUGGCAUUUAGUGACAUGAGUAAUAACA